UGCAGGUCUUUCCUUCAGUGGCAGGAGAUGACGAGGAUGAUGUGAAGUCCCUUCGAUCCCAUCGGAUUAAAAUGGAGGUCUCAGGGAACUCACUAGAAGAGUCUAUAGAGGAGUGUGGUGUGGAGGAAACAUCUGUGAGUAAGUCUCACUAUAAGGACUCACUUCUGGAUAAUGGUCUUCAGGAUGUACACCAUGAACUGGACUCCCCAGAGUUCAAUGGGAAAGAUUCUAUCAUCGAAUCUCCUGACUGCUCCUCAGACUCCCGCAGGUCACAGAAGAGUGUCCUGUGCUCUGUGUGUUGAUAAAAGAAACCCUGCACUGUGUCUUUCCUGUUCUAUGGAGUUCAGGUCAAUAAGACCUUCCCCAAAAGAUGAGCUACUAACAUAGGUGGUAUGUAAAACGUUGUAGAAGAGUGGGUUAUUUUUUAAUUACUUAU
rnacentral:lncRNA from 1 species